UGGUUAUCCUCUUCUUAGGGCAUGAGAACAUUUUUCCCGUUCACCGAUCGUUGGUGCGGUGAUCGCCUGCUCGGUGAUUCCCGGUCGUGUUUGGUCGCGCCUCCCUUUCUUUACGCAAAGAAAGGACCAGGCAAGGACUAUAAAACCAAGUCACUCCAAGCAAAUCGGUUAUCAGUUAGCAAACAGCGAACCGUAAGUCACCUAUUCCAGUGAAAGCUUGACAUAGUCACAACGCUCAGCGCGAAUCGUAACCAUGAACUUCAGCAAAGUGUUUGCACUCGUUCUGCUCAUCGGGUUGGUUUUACUCACCGGGCAUACCGAAGCCGGUGGUCUGAAGAAGCUGGGGAAGAAAUUGGAAGGAGUCGGAAAACGUGUAUUCAAAGCUUCUGAGAAAGCACUUCCCGUUAUAACUGGUUACAAAGCCAUAGGAAAAUAGGAAACAUUAAUGAUGCUUUGUAAGACAUCAUGGAGGAAUUGUGAUAACUAACUACAUACAAAAUGUAUAAGACGCUCUCGAAAUGAAAUUAUUUAAUUUAAGCAUUGAAAUUAUAUUCAAAACUAUUAUGAAAAACAA